AGUAUUAUUAUAAUUAUAAUUAUAAUUAUAAUGUAAUCACAGUGGACAUUUAGUAUUUGAAGUGUAUGCAUAUGUAUAUAUGUACUCGGUAUCAUUAUAUGAGUGCGUGUAUAAUAUAGAUUCAAGAUUAAUAUGAAAUUAAUAUUAAUUUGUCUUAAAUAACUCAGUUAUAAUAACUUUAGGCAUUAUCUUUUAACGUUUGUUAAUUGAUUUAUAUUGGUCUAUAGUUUAUUUGGUUUGGAACAUGAGACACUGGUAAUACACUGUUUCAGUGACAUUUUUCAUUGUGAGCUAUUUAAGGUUACUCGGCUGUAUAACGGGUAUAAUAAGGUGUCUUAUUCGAGUACUACUUGACUUACAUAAAAAUAUACAAGACUUGAUAAAUUUUAAUGUCAAUGAUAUAAAUAUAUAUGUAUACAUUAUUAUUAACAUUGUGAAUAAUGUAUAAGUGGUUUGCAAUUGACAAUUAGGUGAUUUAUUAUUUAAUCUGUGUUAAUUAAACACCUGAUAUAUGAUUGGGAGCGGCUUGACAGCUGAAACUAUGUCUCUCGUGUCGCGGUUACUGCAGUUGAGCCACACGUAAAAUUCACCCUAGGGAAACUCUCUAGUUUGGUGUUCUUCUUUAAGUGAGAAAUACAUACAGUUUAUUGUAUAAUUGUGAAUUAAUUAAGUGAUUAAGUGCUCUGGAAUUGUAAUGAACGUUGUAUCAGAAUCAUUACUAUGUAACGGUGCUCUGAUUAUUGAAGAAACUACGUGAUAAUUGGAAUAUUUGGUCAGGUAAUGAGGAUGCAUAGUACUUACUUGACACACAUUGGAUAUUAAUUAACUAAAACUGAUUAAAGGUAUUUGGAUGUACUUUAAUUAUCAUCUGAGAAGAUAAUACAUAAAUUAGAUUAUAUAAUCUAAAUAGGUUAUAUAGGUUAUAUAAUAAAUUGUUAUAUAUAUAACCUAUAAGACUGCUACCUUGCUACCUGUAGCUGUUGUUAUUAUACACAGUUAUUAAAUUUUAGUGCAAUGGGUCUCUGUGAAUGCUCUUAAACAUUUUCGUUUACUUAUAUUUGCAAUAAUUGUACUAGCUAAAUGAUAUACUAUAAUUUUGUGCUUCGAGAGGCAUUUAUGUUGUUUACACUUAUGUAACAUUAAUAAUAAAUGUCUCUAUGUGAAUGAUUAACUGAAGCGAAUGGUUAUUCAAUUGAACUGAUAGUGAUAGUUAUAAAGUUUUCUUAAUUUAAUCAUACAUACAUUAAGAAAGGAAGAACUAUUAAAUCAGUGUUAUUGCAACGCUGAUUGUCAUUGACUUUAUUCAAGAGGAUGAAUACAUGAUGUGAUCAAUUACUGACUUUUUUAUCAAUAUAUUUCAGAUUACAAGUGACACAGGAUAUCACAGAUAGAUGCAUAUGCAUACAUGCAUAUGAUAAUAAGAAGAACUCUACGCAACUGGAAUUAAUGCGUUCUUAUUCUUAUAACAUGGUCAUCGUUAAAGGAUAAAUAUAAGGAAGUGCAUUAAAUUGGCUGCUAAGUGAUUAUGAGUGACACAGGAUAUUGUAGAUAAAUGCAUAUGAUAAUAAUAAGAAGAAUUCUAUGAAUGGGAUUGAUUAUAAAUGACACAGGAUCACAGAUAAAUGCAUAUGCAUAAAUGCGUAUGAUAAUAAGAAGAUCUCUACACAACUGGGAUUAAGGUGUAUUUAUCCUUGUGCCAAAGGAUAAAUAUAAAGAAGUGCAUCAAAAUUGGCUGCUAAAUGGAUAAUUUUAAGUGACACAGGAUAUCACAGAUAAAUAUAUAUGAUAAUAAGAAGAACUCUACGACUGCGUACUUAUCCUUGUCAUUAAGGAUAGAUAAUAAAGUGCGUUAAAACUUUAGUUGUGAAUAAUAGUAUGAUGGACUUUAAAUACUAGACUGUAUUAUAACCGCUGCAUCAUUAUUGUUACUGUUAAUAAUACUACUGCUUGUUUAUUUUGGUGCAAUAACAUAUGAUGUGUUUUUCGUCAUACAUUUAUAUAAACACAAUUGUUUGAACUAAUGGAUAGUAUUAAAUGAAUUGAUAGGGAUAAUUUUUGAACAAUUCUUAUUUGUAUUAAUUAAACAGAUAUUAUAAAAGAGGAAAAAUUAAUUGUAAAUGACGCAAACCAUCAAAUGUGCAUAGAAUUAUUACAUAUUUAAUUCAUAAGAGAAAUCUAUAGAUAUAUUUGAGAUCUGAUACUUACUUUUGUUGUAUUAACGUCAUCUGGGACAAUUAUGAGAAAAUUUGCCCAAUAAUAGCAGCAAAGUUAGACAAAGCAAAAUGAUAGAAACUAUCUAUAUAUAAGUAUAAGAUAGUGAAUAAUGUAUCAUGGUUGUAUUGUAGUUGCACAGUAUAUUGGAGUAGUGAUUGUGUGAUAAUUAUAUUAAAUCACAAACAAGACUGAAAUCAUUGUAAAAUAGGUGUUAGAUAACAUUUAAGAUUCUAAUUAAUAGAUCUUAUAUGUUAUGAAACAAUGAAUAUGGUAUUGAUUGAUACUUACCUGUCAUUGUUUAAUGGCAAUGUGCGGCUGGAUGAUGCUUUUUGAAUGAUGGAAUAAUAACUGACUUAAAUCAACGUAGAUAAAUAGUUAUUAAGACUAGAAUAAAUUAAAAUAGAUUAAAUAAUUAUAAUAUUAGUAAUAACUUGAUUCUGGUUAACAGGAUAAAUGGAAUAUUGUUUGUAAACCAUUACUUACUUUCUAUAUUCAGUAAUUGGAACGGAACUGAAUUGUUAAAGUUGCAUUACUGCUGACUUACUAUUAUUGAAUUAAUAUUACUAUAUUACUAAAUCAUAACUAGAAUUGAGGUUAUUGUGUUGGUUCAACCAAAACUCUAUAUAAUAGACAGAGAUGACUGAUGCUUAUUGUCAUCUUUUGUCUCAAUGAGAAUAGUGUUACUGAGUAAAGAUUUUCGACUGAAAAAAAAAAAAA